UACGUAGGGGGCGAGCGUUACCCGGAUUUACUGGGCGUAAAGCGCGUGUAGGCGGCUGGUCAAGCGUGGUGUGAAAUCUCCGGGCUCAACCCGGAAACUGCAUUGCGAACUGACCUAGCUGGAGUGCAGGAGAGGGCAGCGGAAUUCCCGGUGUAGCGGUGAAAUGCGUAGAUAUCGGGAAGAACACCAGUGGCGAAGGCGGCUGCCUGGCCUGUAACUGACGCUGAGACACGAAAGCCAGGGGAGCGAACGGG
rnacentral:rRNA from 1 species